rnacentral:rRNA from 1 species
GUGGGGAAUAUUGGACAAUGGGCGAAAGCCUGAUCCAGCCAUGCCGCGUGUGUGAAGAAGGUCUUCGGAUUGUAAAGCACUUUAAGUUGGGAGGAAGGGUAGUAACCUAAUACGUUGCUACUUUGACGUUACCGACAGAAUAAGCACCGGCUAACUUCGUGCCAGCAGCCGCGGUAAUACGAAGGGUGCAAGCGUUGUUCGGAAUCACUGGGCGUAAAGGGUGCGUAGGCGGCGUGGUAAGUCAGAUGUGAAAUCACGGGGCUCAACCUCGGGACUGCAUCCGAUACUGCCAUGCUUGAGGGCUGGAGAGGUAACUGGAAUUCUCGGUGUAGCAGUGAAAUGCGUGGAUAUCGAGAGGAACACUCGUGGCGAAGGCGAGUUACUGGACAGCAUCUGACGCUGAGGCACGAAGGCCAGGGGAGCAAAAGGGAUUAGAAACCCGAGUAGUCC